GAGACAGAUAAAAACGGUGAGGGAGGACAGGUACCAUCCUACAUCUCUCCCCCUGGUAAACUCUGCUCGGCUGCUUGUCUGUUGGGCGCCACAGCCAGCGCCAUUUGGCGCUCAUAUGGACCCAAUUAUGUAAGGCAGAAGCCUCCAAUCAUCUCUGCAGCUUUCACAGUCCCUGUUCUGCUGUCCUGGUCCUAAUCAAAAUCGUUGAGGUGGAGGAGUAAAUCACGAGCAGGGCCGACUGAGGCAGGGAUAACAAGAAAAGGAAAGAUGCUUUCGGGAGCAAUCAGACAAACCGCAGGACUCCCUCUCUGCUCUUUAUCCUCGCACAGUUCCCACAAUCCCCACCUUCUCUCACCCAUCCCUCCUCCCGCAACAACCGCACAGUGAAACCUGAACCCUGGCAUUAUACACUCCCCCUCCUCACCCUCCCAGCCCCUAACAGUGAGAGUGUGGGAGGACGGGUGAGAGGCUACAUGGUCCCAGGCAGCCACCCGUCAAUCAAGUGCCUCUCUUGUGUCGGAACAAGGCAUCGAGCUCAGGUGAGAAUGGAAGCUGGUUGAUUGAAAACACACAAAAAAGAUUCACAGCAGGACACAGAGUGUAUCAGCGUGUUGAUGCCGGAGAGUGUUGGUGAGAAUAAAAUCUAAAUAAGGAUCUUUCUUGACUGAAGGUCAUGAGCUCACUCUCAUCCCAGAGAUCAGCUGAGGGAGUCGUUUUAAAGAUUAAAAAGAUAAACAUGUAUUUAUACCCAGGGAUGAAAAACCCCAAACAUUCACUGCAGUUAUAAGAAAUCUGGACAGAUUUGAACCAAAUCAAAAACUAGAACUAGAACACCUAAAUAUAAAGAAGUGGUUCAGAUGUGAAAAUUGUAGAAUGUAUAUAUCUAAUAACUAUAUAUAAGAACUGUUGUUUUAACUUGACCUAUGUAGGUCUUUGCCUAGUGACUGAUUUCAAAAGCCACUUUUUUCACAAUCAAGUGAAAACAAUGACAUGCAAAUCUGCUACACCUCUACUACCUGCUUACUACAUACCAGAGGUGGAAAGAGUACAAUGCUACUCAUGGAAAAGUAUCACUAUUUUGAUAUUUGUUUAACUUAAGUACAAGUAAAGGUACUGGUCUAAAAAUGUACUCAAGUUAAUGUAAAAUAAAGAAAUUGGGGUUC